rnacentral:rRNA from 1 species
AGAGUUUGAUCAUGGCUCAGAUUGAACGCUGGCGGCAGGCCUAACACAUGCAAGUCGAACGGUAACAGGAAACAGCUUGCUGAUUCGCUGACGAGUGGCGGACGGGUGAGUAAUGUCUGGGAAACUGCCUGAUGGAGGGGGAUAACUACUGGAAACGGUAGCUAAUACCGCAUAACGUCGCAAGACCAAAGAGGGGGACCCUCGGGCCUCUUGCCAUCGGAUGUGCCCAGAUGGGAUUAGCUUGUUGGUGGGGUAACGGCUCACCAAGGCGACGAUCCCUAGCUGGUCUGAGAGGAUGACCAGCCACACUGGAACUGAGACACGGUCCAGACUCCUACGGGAGGCAGCAGUGGGGAAUAUUGCACAAUGGGCGCAAGCCUGAUGCAGCCAUGCCGCGUGUAUGAAGAAGGCCUUCGGGUUGUAAAGUACUUUCAGCGGGAGGAAGGGAGUAAAGUUAAUACCUUUGCUCAUUGACGUUACCCGCAGAAGAAGCACCGGCUAACUCCGUGCCAGCAGCCGCGGUAAUACGGAGGGUGCAAGCGUUAAUCGGAAUUACUGGGCGUAAAGCGCACGCAGGCGGUUUGUUAAGUCAGAUGUGAAAUCCCCGGGCUCAACCUGGGAACUGCAUCUGAUACUGGCAAGCUUGAGUCUCGUAGAGGGGGGUAGAAUUCCAGGUGUAGCGGUGAAAUGCGUAGAGAUCUGGAGGAAUACCGGUGGCGAAGGCGGCCCCCUGGACGAAGACUGACGCUCAGGUGCGAAAGCGUGGGGAGCAAACAGGAUUAGAUACCCUGGUAGUCCACGCCGUAAACGAUGUCGACUUGGAGGUUGUGCCCUUGAGGCGUGGCUUCCGGAGCUAACGCGUUAAGUCGACCGCCUGGGGAGUACGGCCGCAAGGUUAAAACUCAAAUGAAUUGACGGGGGCCCGCACAAGCGGUGGAGCAUGUGGUUUAAUUCGAUGCAACGCGAAGAACCUUACCUGGUCUUGACAUCCACGGAAGUUUUCAGAGAUGAGAAUGUGCCUUCGGGAACCGUGAGACAGGUGCUGCAUGGCUGUCGUCAGCUCGUGUUGUGAAAUGUUGGGUUAAGUCCCGCAACGAGCGCAACCCUUAUCCUUUGUUGCCAGCGGUCCGGCCGGGAACUCAAAGGAGACUGCCAGUGAUAAACUGGAGGAAGGUGGGGAUGACGUCAAGUCAUCAUGGCCCUUACGACCAGGGCUACACACGUGCUACAAUGGCGCAUACAAAGAGAAGCGACCUCGCGAGAGCAAGCGGACCUCAUAAAGUGCGUCGUAGUCCGGAUUGGAGUCUGCAACUCGACUCCAUGAAGUCGGAAUCGCUAGUAAUCGUGGAUCAGAAUGCCACGGUGAAUACGUUCCCGGGCCUUGUACACACCGCCCGUCACACCAUGGGAGUGGGUUGCAAAAGAAGUAGGUAGCUUAACCUUCGGGAGGGCGCUUACCACUUUGUGAUUUAUGACUGGGGUGAAGUCGUAACAAGGUAACCGUAGGGGAACCUGCGGUUG